UUGGCUAAUACAUGCGCAAAUACUAUAUUAUCUCACUUUAUGUGGAUGAUGUAGUAGUGUUUAUUAGAUACAGAACCAAUACACCCGUAACAAGGUGURGAAAAAGGUGAUUCAUAGUAACCGAACGGAUCGCAUAUAUUAUAAUCAUUUCGGUGAUUAUUGGCGAUAGAUCAUUCAAGUU
rnacentral:rRNA from 1 species